ACGAACCUUCGAGGCAGGGUGAAAUUCCCGACCGGCGGUAAUAAUUGCCCGUGCAAUUCAGCCCGCAACUCAGUGCAGCUCCAGUGCUGCACCGACUGACUUGGUGAGACUCCAAGGCCGACGGUAUAGUCCGGAUGGGAGAAGGUACAA
rnacentral:ncRNA from 20 species